rnacentral:rRNA from 13 species
CAGAUUGAACGCUGGCGGCAGGCCUAACACAUGCAAGUCGAGCGGUAGCACAGAGAGCUUGCUCUCGGGUGACGAGCGGCGGACGGGUGAGUAAUGUCUGGGAAACUGCCUGAUGGAGGGGGAUAACUACUGGAAACGGUAGCUAAUACCGCAUAAUGUCGCAAGACCAAAGUGGGGGACCUUCGGGCCUCAUGCCAUCAGAUGUGCCCAGAUGGGAUUAGCUAGUAGGUGGGGUAACGGCUCACCUAGGCGACGAUCCCUAGCUGGUCUGAGAGGAUGACCAGCCACACUGGAACUGAGACACGGUCCAGACUCCUACGGGAGGCAGCAGUGGGGAAUAUUGCACAAUGGGCGCAAGCCUGAUGCAGCCAUGCCGCGUGUGUGAAGAAGGCCUUCGGGUUGUAAAGCACUUUCAGCGGGGAGGAAGGCGAUGAGGUUAAUAACCUUGUCGAUUGACGUUACCCGCAGAAGAAGCACCGGCUAACUCCGUGCCAGCAGCCGCGGUAAUACGGAGGGUGCAAGCGUUAAUCGGAAUUACUGGGCGUAAAGCGCACGCAGGCGGUCUGUCAAGUCGGAUGUGAAAUCCCCGGGCUCAACCUGGGAACUGCAUUCGAAACUGGCAGGCUAGAGUCUUGUAGAGGGGGGUAGAAUUCCAGGUGUAGCGGUGAAAUGCGUAGAGAUCUGGAGGAAUACCGGUGGCGAAGGCGGCCCCCUGGACAAAGACUGACGCUCAGGUGCGAAAGCGUGGGGAGCAAACAGGAUUAGAUACCCUGGUAGUCCACGCCGUAAACGAUGUCGAUUUGGAGGUUGUGCCCUUGAGGCGUGGCUUCCGGAGCUAACGCGUUAAAUCGACCGCCUGGGGAGUACGGCCGCAAGGUUAAAACUUAAAUGAAUUGACGGGGGCCCGCACAAGCGGUGGAGCAUGUGGU